rfam:Triticum aestivum genome assembly, contig: Triticum_aestivum_CS42_TGACv1_scaffold_579059_7BL
CUUAUACUCCCUCCGUUCGGAAAUAAUUGUCAUCAAAAUAAAUAAAAAUGAAUAUAUCUAAAUGUAUUUUAAUUUUUAAUACAUUCAUUUUUGUUCAUUUUGAUGACAAGUAUUUUCAAAUGAAGGGAGUAUAUA